CUUUAUUCUGGUUUCCCCAGGAACAGGUGAGGCCAGGUCACAAUUCAUAUUGAUAUUUAAAUGGCAUCUGGAUGCUGCAUAUUGCAUAUUAGAAACAAAAAAAAUUGGUAAAAUCCCAAUACGAAGAGAGAGAACAAAACAAGCAGAAAAAUUAACCUGAUGGAAGCAAAUAAGAACAAAAGAAAACAAAACCUAUAAGCAAAUAAUACCAUGGGAAAAUAACAGAAGUUUUUGCAUCCAUAAAC
rnacentral:lncRNA from 10 species